GUAUGCCGUAGUUCUGUAAAAGGGUUAGAUCCGACGCCCUUAGGAGGCUACUUUAGGCUCUACUUCUCAACUCCUACUCAAUACGUCCACGACGUGCAGAACGGUAACUUGUCGCCUAGAUCCAAGCUUGGGUACACGGGGAAACCCAACCCCCCUUGGGCGGAUGGGCGGCAAGGCUGAAUUGAGAGGU
rnacentral:ribozyme from 1 species